UCUAUAAUUGACAUUAAAGUUAUUUCUGAUAGAUCUUUUGGAUAUCUUGUUAUAAUAUAAAUUAUGGCUGAACAUCAUCAUAGAAUUAUUAAGAAACAAUAUAAAUUUUAUAUGUUAAUUCUUUGUAAAAAUGUAAGAAGACUUGCAAGUUACUGACUUCAUCAUUACAUUUAUUUAUUAUUGAAAAAAUACAGAACGGCUAGGCUCAACAGUGCGUAUAGGGUAGACGUACCAAAAUAUAUUGUUACAGUCAUGACGGCUUUCCCAUUGCUGUCAACAAACUUAAACCUUGUUCAUAACUAUUUCAGAUCUUGGUGUAUUGUCCUCAUUCUUGGUCACAACAACCCUUCAAGUAGACCAGACUAAACUUGACCUUCAUGUUAACAUUCAAGAAGGUAAACCUACAUGUCAGAUUUGUGAAUGUGAAGGACAGGAUAUAGGGUCAAUGAGGAUGGAAUCAAGAGAGAUAAAGGCUAAAAUGUGAGACUGUCAAUCUGACUAACCUUAAAAUGAAUAAAUGGAAAAAUGUUUCUUUCAACAGCAUGGGCAUUUAAGGAAGAGGAAACAGGGGCGCUUGUAUGAUAGAACAGUAAUAGCAGGAGUGAUGAGGGAAGAUAGAUGUGUCUUAAUGUCGGAAACACUAGAGAAAUCGAAAUACCGGUAUUUGGGUUUUCAAAACUGAAAAGAAAUUGGAAUACCAGGGGACUGCCUGCCCUUUGCAAUAGUGGAUAAUAGGAUGAUGUCGAAAGCCUCAUGAAUAUAGUACAUUGACUUAAUCUAAUUAGAAAAAGAAAUGACAUUCAGGAGAAAACUAGUCACCAGUCUUUCACUAAAAAUGUGAGAUAACUUUCCAAUAUUUGAAAUAUCACAAUAUGUAUAGAACUAUAAUGAGCCACCAGUACUUCACCACUUAUCUAUUUUUGAAAUAUGUAUGAACAGAACUUUAUAAACUUCAAGGUGAGAGUUUAUCACAAAGAACAUGAGAUAACCUAUGAUUGAACAGAACCACAUUUGUAUAUAGAGAUGCCAGUUCAUCACCAAGAAGAUGAGCUAACUUAUCAAUGUUUGAAAUUUGUUUGUACAGAAAAAUAUCAAGCUCAAGUUUCUUUUAUUAAGAACAGACAUAUUGAUUAGAUAACUUACAAUAUUUACAAACAUUUAUACUACCACACCCAUUUAAAAUAUUUCAGCUUAGAGUGUAUUAUCCAAAAUACAUGUAAUGUACCUAUAGUAUAUUUAUUAAUAUACUUAUUGUAUAGUUUUGAUUUUACUAGAUUUUAAAAACAUUUAGAUUUUUACUAGAUCUUGAAAAUAUUUUUUCCAUGCUCUUUCAUUUAAUUUUGAAUAAUGAAUGAUUUAUUAUUCAAUCCAAUGAAUACCUAUAAUAAGUAUAGAAUUAAAAUUGAUAAUGUAUUCUAUCUUAAACUAAUCUAAAAGUACAAAAGUAAUGUUUAAACUUAAAGAGAAAAUGGCCCCACUGGCCUGGGGUUUGAUACCAUAACUCUCAGUUCAUUGCUGUUGGUAGCUUUUCUAGCCUAUAAAGAUACUCAAGUAUGUUAUACAUGUAUAUAAUAGGAUGUUUUUUUUAUCUUGAAGCAGCAUGCCUCCAGGUUAUUGUUAUUUUUUAUGAUAAUUUUGAAAAUGUAAUUUUAAGUAAAAUAUUGUGAAGUUAACAAAGAAAGUAAUGACUAUUGUACAUAUUGCUAAUGACACAAUCCAUAUAAUUUACCAAAAAGACGCCAAAAUAUGCAAAAAUAGCCUGGGGUUAGUCACACAGUAGAAAUAUGGUGAUCAUUUGAAUAUUGCAAAAUCAGUCAUUAAUGGCACAUAAUGUAAGGUUUUUAUUGCACUUUUUACUUUUCUUAAUACCUUUUUUAUCAAGUUUGAUUUGCUUUUGGCAUAUCUGGAGUCAUGUAGCUUUAAUUCUAAAUGUAAUUGUUUCAUAGAGAAAUUGUUGUUUGAUCACAAUUUUAGUUUUUUGUUACUGUUUGAAAAUGUAUCUUUAAGUUGAAAAAUAUGGAAUAGUUUGUUAAAUCUUUGUUAGGCUUGUCCAGUGGAUAGAAGAUUUAUUUGAAAAAUGUUAGGACUAAAACUGCAUAGAAAUUAUGAUGUUAAGCGAAAACAACCCUUAAAAUUGAAAGGGCAUAAAUUUGACUCUUUUUCAAAUCUCACAAAAAGUUUCAUUGAUAUUUAUUCAUUUAGAAAAAAUUAUAAUUGCCCAUAAAUGCACCGAAUAUGAUAUGAGAAUUUUCUAUGAAUGCCUACUUUUGAUUUCUACAAAGGUUUAUGUUAAUAGUAUGAUAACUUAUACAGUGUGACACCAUCAUUUUAAACUGCUUUGGAAAUAAAUAUUUGGUUCCUUUGCAUACAAUUUUUUUGACAUAACAAAAAUCUGUAAUUAAUGUAGCUCUGAUCAAACUUUUGGCAAAUUGUGUUACAUGCUUAUUGAUAAUUGUUAAUUCAUUCAUUAGUAUGAUAGUUACUAGUUGCAUAGUUUUAUUAGCUCACCUGAGCAUAUGCUCAGGGUGAGCUAUUAGGAUCACUCUUCGUCUGUCGUACGUUGUCCGUUCACACUUUUCAAACGACAUCUCCUCUGAAACCAUAAGGCAGAUCAUAAUGAAACUCCACAGGGAUGUUCCUUGUGUGAAGCCUUAACAAAGUUGUUCAAAGAAUUCCAUUCCAUGCAGAAUUCUGGUUUCCAUGGCAACCAAAAGAAAAAACUUUAAACAUCUUCUUCUAAAAAACCCAAAGAGCUAGAGCUUAGAUAUUUGUCAUGGAACAUCUUCUAGUGAGUGUCUACCAAGAUUGUUCAAAUAAAAGCCCUGGGGUCAAAAUUGGCCCCGCCCCAGGGGGUCAUUGAUUUUCCCUAUAUGCAUAAAGUAAAAACUUAAAAAAAUCUUCUUUUAAAGAACCCAAAGAGCUAGAGCUAAGAUAUUUAGCAUGAAACAUCUUCUAAUGAGUGUCUACCAAGAUUGUUCAAAUAAAAGCCCUGGGGUCAAAAUUGGCCCCGCCCCAGGGGGUCAUUGAUUUUCCCUAUAUGCAUAUAGUAAAAACUUAAAAUAUCUUCUUCUAAAAAACCAAAAGAGCUAGAGCUAAGAUAUUUGGCAUGAAACAUGUUCUAAUGGAUGUCUACCAAGUUUGUUCAAAUAAAAGCCCUAGGGUCAAAAUUGGCCCCGCCCCAGGGGGUCAUUGAUUUUCCUUAUAUGCAUAUAGUAAAAACUUUAAAAAAAUUCUUUUAAAGAACCCAAAGAGCUAGAGCUAAGAUAUUUAGCAUGAAACAUCAUCUAAUGAGUGUCUACCAAGUUUGUUCAAAUAAAAGCCCUUGGGUCAAAAUUGGCCCCUCCCCAGGGGGUCAUUGAUUUUCCCUAUAUGCAUAUAGUAAAAGCUUAAAAAAUCUUCUUUUAAAGAACCCAAAGAGCUAGAACUAAGAUAUUUAGCAUGAAACAUGUUCUAAUGGGUGUCUACCAAGUUUGUUCAAAUAAAAGCCCUAGGGUCAAAAUUGGCCCCGCCCCGGGGGUCAUUGAUUUUCCUUAUAUGUGUAUAGCAAAAACUUAAAAAUUCUUCUUUGAAAAAACCCAUAUAGCUAGAGUUUAGAUAUUAGCAUGAAACAUCUUCUAGUAAGUGUCUACAAAGUUUGUUCAAAUAAAAUCCCUGGGGUCAAAAUUGGCCCUGCUCCAGGGGGUCAUUGAUUUUCCUUAUAUGUGUAUAGCAAAAACUUAAAAAUCUUCUUUGAAAAAACCCAAAUAGCUAGAGUUUAGAUAUUAAGCAUGAAACAUCUUCUAGUGAUUGUCUACAAAGUUUGUUCAAAUAAAAGCCCUGGGGUCAAAAUUGGCCCCGCCGGGGGCCAUUGAUUUUCCUUAUAUGUGUAUAGCAAAAACUUAAAAAUCUUCUUUGAAAAAAACCCAAAUAGCUAGAGUUUAGAUAUUAAGCAUGAAACAUCUUCUAGUGAGUGUCUACAAAGUUUGUUCAAAUAAAAGCCCUGGGGUCAAAAUUGGCCCCGCCCCAGGGGGUCUUUGAUUUUCCCUAUAUGCAUAUAGUAAAAACUUAAAAAAUCUUCUUUUAAAGAACCCAAAGAGCUAGAGCUAAGAUAUUUAGCAUGAAACAUGUUCUAAUGGGUGUCUACCAAGUUUGUUCAAAUAAAAGCCCUGGGGUCAAAAUUGGCCCCGCCCUGGGGGUCAUUGAUUUUCCUUAUUUGUGUAUAGCAAAAACUUAAAAAUCUUCUUUGAAAAAACCCAAAUAGCUAGAGUUUAGAUAUUAAGCAUGAAACAUCUUCUAGUGAAUGUCUACAAAGCUUGUUCAAAUAAAAGCCCUGGGGUCAAAAUUGGCCCGGCCCCGGGUGUCAUUGAUUUUCCUUAUAUGUGUAUAGUACAAACUUAAAAAAUCGUCUUUUAAAAAACCCAAUGAGCUAGAGCUUAGAUGUUUAGCAUGAAACAUCUUCUUAUUGGUGUCUACCAAGUUUGGUCAAAUAAAAGCCCCUGGAUUAAAAUUGGCCCUAACGGGAGGGGGGGGGGGGGCAGUAGAUCAUUGUUUUUCAUUAUAUGUGUGUAGUAAAAACUUAACAUUGUGAAACAUCUUCUAAUGGGUGUCUUCCAAGUUUGUUCAAAUAAAAGCCCUGGGGUUUAAACUGGCCCCGCUCCGGGUGCCUUUAUACAGGUGAGCGACCUCAGGGCCAUCAUGGCCCUCUUGUUAUAACACUUCUGCCUGUUUUAUUGAAAACAAAUUUUGUUGAAAAAGGUGAAACAUAUAGGCAGCUGAUAUGAAUUAGGGCAUGUGUUUAGCUAAAAACAGAAUUUCGAGCUAUUACUACAGUCAAGUUGCUGUUCCUGCACAUGUUGCUUACCAGAAACUUUAAACUUAGCCAUUAUUUUUUAACGGAUUGUCUUCAUUCUUGGACACAACAAUUCUUUGGACAAGACCAUUAAGAAGACCAGACUGAAGUUGACAUUGAUUCAUGAAUUACAUGUAUAUUGACCUUCAAGUUCAAAUGUAUAAACUUUGAUUUUGAAUUUUUAUUUUCUUCAAACUUGUAGGCUAAGACAUAAAAGAAAAUCAAACUCAAUAUCUCAUUGACUCUUAAAUGUUUAAAAUUUUUUUUUUUUGCUUUGAUUUUUACAAUGCAUCGGCACAGUGAAGGUCAUAAUAUGGUUACUGUCCAGCAUGACUGGUAGAGUCAACAACCUUGACCACUCUGUCACAGACACUUUUAGCAAGUUUAACUUUGCUGCACAAAAUGGCUCUCAGAGCUAUAAAUAUAAAAAUCUUGUCUGGCUUUCACAGAUAGAACUGUGGGUUAGAUUUCAAUGAAACUUCACAGGAGUGAACAGUUCCAUCCCUAGUUGUGCACAUUGCCGGCAUGUUCCGCUUCACUGCACAAAAUGGCCCCUAGGGUUAAAAAUAGAAAUAUCUUAUCACAUGUCAAAUUGCCUGCUGGAUUUCUGCCAAAUUCAAAGGAGUGAUCCGAACCAUACACAGUUUUAGAAGACAUAUGUUUUUGUGACAAAAACCCUUCAAGUCCAUAUAUUAUAUGGCCUUUACCUUUAUUUGAUAAAAAAUCUUUGAAAUUAGCUAGAAUUGUCAUUACUUUGUUAUUUUUUUACAGAUUUGAUUCAUGCUUGGACAAACAAACACAAAACCAACAUGUUGAAUUAUUCUGAUAAAACUUUGACCUUUAACUGACUAUUACCUCCAAGGUUAAACAAUUUAUUUUGCUCACAUUGUCAUAACUGCUUUUUGUCUAUGAUUUGAUUCAUUCUUUGACAAAAGAACAUUUAUUAUUCAACUAUGACAUUUACUUAAAUGUGUUGACAGUCAAAUUCAAAUUUGAAAUUUACUUUAUACAUUUAUAUUAUGUUUUCUAGGAGUACUCGUAUAGGUACUACAAUAUUCUCAAACUGAUGUGUUUGACUUUCUAUAUAAGAAAAAGCAGAGCAUGGCCCAAGCUAGGUAGUGGCUCUUGUUUUCAAUGCCAACUACAUUAUACGUAUCCAUUCCAAUUUACAUUCUCACAUGUAUUAUUUAUUGCGCUUGAAAGGUUUCUACAAAAAAUAAGUUUGUUCUUACAGUUCUGGUUUUAUUUUAGAAAUAUUUCAUAGACAGUUAAAUUUUCUGUUUAUUUUCUAUUUGCAUAAUCAUUUCUUGAAAUAAAUAUAGUAAGUGCACUGAUUUAUGUGUUAUACACUCACAUAUGGAAGUCCUUCAAAUGAAAAUUGGUUGAAAGAAAAAUUUAGAUAAACUUGAACAACUAUAGUUUCCCAACAAAUUCCAAUGUCAUAUUUUGAAAUGUUUAUUCAUUAUAUAAUAUGAUAUCAAUUAUGCAUUUAGCCACGGCUUGUAAGUAUGCUGUU